rnacentral:rRNA from 1 species
AUGAUGAGCAGCGGCAGGAUGAACGCGGCGGCCGGCGACGACUUACCGUUAGCAGCAAUGCAGCCGCCGCCCUACGUCGGCUUUGAGCUCGCCGCCAGCAUGAUGGCUGGUGGCGGAGGAGGAGGCCAGCCCCACGAGGGGGCGAUGAUACUCGACAACUUCCACUUCCCGGCGGCAGCGGCCGCCUUCAACCAGUUCCAGGAGGCGCCGCACCACCAGAUGCUGGCGCUGCCUUCCAACGGCAACGGCGGCUGUGGGCUGGUCCACAUGGCGCCGCCGCCCAUGUCCGGGAUGCAGCUGCAGAUGCCGCCGAUGGCCAUGCACGGUCACGGUGACGUGUGCCCGGCUCUUGGGAUGGUGAAGCGCGAGGGCGGCGCCGGGGACGCGGGGAGGAUAGACUUGAACCACGGCCAGCGGACCUGCUUCCCCACCGGCGACAUGAUGGCGGUGGACCCGAUGCUCAUGCGGUCCCGUCUUGGCAGCGUGUUCGACCUGGGAUUCGGCCGCGUCCACCGCCAGCCGCCUCGGUGCCAGGUGGAGUACUGCAAGGCGGACCUCUCCGGCGCCAAGCACUACCACCGGCGCCACAAGGUGUGCGAGUACCACGCCAAGGCGGCGCUUGUCUCCGCCGCCGGCAAGCAGCAGCGCUUCUGCCAGCAAUGCAGCAGGUUCCACGUGAUCACGGAGUUCGACCAGACCAAGAGGAGCUGCAGGAAGAGGCUCGCAGAGCACAACCGUCGCCGGAGGAAACCGGUGGCCAGCGGCGCGGGGGCGGUGUCCAAGGACUUGGCCGUGCCUUCCAGGAAACAAAACGCCGGGGGCAUCUCCAGCUCCUACGCCGGCGACAAUAACACUUUGAGCGCAACCUACACGAGCGCGACCAGCUGCCUUCAGCAGGGCCAGGCCAGGCUAGCGGCGGCGAGGCAGAUGACGCUCGCCCUGGGCGUGCCCCCGGAGAAGGACCGCCGCCAGCAGCAGCUCAGCAACUCCAUGCAGCUCCACCACCAUCAGGAGCAGCAACACUUCAUCACCUCCCUCCUGCACAAUAGCAACAUCAUGUCACGUUCGUCGGUGUGCUCCAGCACGAUGCCGUCCGCGGCGGUGGCCAACAGCCAGGUCUUCGACCAGCAAAACGACAACACCAAUGGCAGCAACCACGCCAACAACGGCAUCCAUAUGUUUGAGGUGGAAUUCAUGUAG